rnacentral:rRNA from 1 species
GACGAACGCUGGCGGCGUGCUUAACACAUGCAAGUCGAACGGAAAGGCCCUGCUUGCAGGGUACUCGAGUGGCGAACGGGUGAGUAACACGUGGGUUAUCUGCCCUGCACUUCGGGAUAAGCCUGGGAAACUGGGUCUAAUACCGGAUAGGAGCCAUUUUUAGUGUGAUGGUUGGAAAGUUUUUUCGGUGUAGGAUGAGCUCGCGGCCUAUCAGCUUGUUGGUGGGGUAAUGGCCUACCAAGGCGGCGACGGGUAGCCGGCCUGAGAGGGUGGACAGCCACAUUGGGACUGAGAUACGGCCCAGACUCCUACGGGAGGCAGCAGUGGGGAAUAUUGCACAAUGGGCGCAAGCCUGACGCAGCGACGCCGCGUGGGGGAUGACGGCCUUCGGGUUGUAAACUCCUUUCGCUAGGGACGAAGCUUUUUGUGACGGUACCUAGAUAAGAAGCACCGGCUAACUACGUG